UCGAGGAUCUUCGUCAAUGGGCGCAAGCCUGAACGAGCGAUGCCGCGUGAGCGAUGAAGGCCUUCGGGUUGUAAAGCUCAAAAGGGGUGAGAAAGGGAAACUUGAUCGAACCCCAGUAAGCUCGGGCUAAGUUCGUGCCAGCAGCCGCGGUAAGACGAACCGAGCGAACGUUGUUCGGAAUCACUGGGCUUAAAGGGCGCGUAGGCGGGUGCUCAAGUCUGUGGUGAAAUCCUCCGGCUCAACCGGAGAACUGCCAUGGAUACUGGGUGUCUCGAGGGUGGUAGGGGUAUGCGGAACUAUCGGUGGAGCGGUGAAAUGCGUUGAUAUCGAUAGGAACUCCGGUGGCGAAGGCGGCAUACUGGACCACUUCUGACGCUGAGGCGCGAAAGCCAGGGGAGCGAACG
rnacentral:rRNA from 2 species